UUUGGAGAGUUUGAUCCUGGCUCAGGACGAACGCUGGCGGCGUGCCUAAUACAUGCAAGUCGAGCGGACUUGAUGGAGUGCUUGCACUCCUGAUGGUUAGCGGCGGAC
rnacentral:rRNA from 1 species